AGAGUUUGAUCAUGGCUCAGGAUGAACGCUGGCGGCGUGCCUAACCCAUGUGAGUCGAACGAUUCUGUAGUAAUACGGAAGAGUGGCGGAAGGGUGAGUAACACGUGGAAGACCUGCCUCACCGCAGGGAACAACCGCGCGAAAGCGCGGCUAAUACCCAAAAGGUUCGAUGCUUCGGUGCGUCGAGCAGAGUACCGCAAGGUGCGUGGUGAGAGGGUUCUGCGGCCCAUCAGCUAGUUGGUAGGGUAGUGGCCUACCAAGGCGACGACGGGUAGGGGGUCUGAGAGGACGAUCCCCCACACUGGAACUGCAACACGGUCCAGACGCCUACAGGUGGCAGCAGGGAGGAAUAUUGCACAAUGGGCGCAAGCCCGAUGCAGCAACGCCGCGUGGAGGAUGAAGGCCUUCGGGUCGUAAACUCCUUUUGAGGGAGACGAGCAAGGACGGUAUCCCUCGAAUAAGCCACGGCUAACUACGUGCCAGCAGCCGCGGUAAAACGUAGGUGGCGAGCGUUAUCCGGAUUCAUUGGGCGUAAAGCGCUUGUAGGUGGCCUUGUAAGUUGGACGUGAAAUCUCCCGGCUUAACCGGGCGGGGUCGUUCAAUACUGCAGGGCUGGAGGAUGUCAGAGGGCAGCGGAAUUCCUGGUGUAGCAGUGAAAUGCGUAGAUAUCAGGAGGAAC
rnacentral:rRNA from 1 species